rnacentral:rRNA from 1 species
GGCGAAAGCCUGACGGAGCAAUGCCGCGUGUGGGAUGAAGCAUCUUCGAUGUGUAAACCACUGUCAAGAUCUAGGAAUACUGACCAGAUCUAAAGGAAGGGCCGGCUAAUUCCGUGCCAGCAGCCGCGGUAAUACGGAAGGCCCGAGCGUUAAUCGGAAUCACUGGGCUUAAAGCGUACGCAGGCGGACUUGUAGGUAUUCUGUGAAAUCCCACGGCUUAACCGUGGAACUGCAGGGUAAACCACAAGUCUUGAGACAUGUAGGGGUCAGUGGAACUAUGAGUGGAGCGGUGAAAUGCGUAGAUAUUCAUGGGAACGCCAAUGGCGAAGGCAGCUGACUGGGCAUGUUCUGACGCUCAGGUACGAAAGCGUGGGUAGCGAACGGGAUUAGAUACCCCGGUAGUCCACGCCGUAAACGAUGCACACUAGGUCGUGGGAUCUCUCAUGAUUUCGCGGCCGAAGGUAAACUGAUUAGUGUGCCGCCUGGGAGUA